rnacentral:siRNA from 1 species
CUUUAGGUCGGACCAAUUGUUAGA